GCUAUACCUGCUAUACGUCGCCCGUGUCAGCUGAACCAGCGAUUGACGACUUUAGACGCCAUGUCUACCACUUCACCGACUCCUUUCACCGCCGGUUUCUAAGCUGUGAGGCGUGCUCGAAGCUUUGCGUCCCGGCUACUCCAGUUAUGACCUCAACUUCUGCAAGCAACUGUCGUCGCCACGUGCCUCCCAGCUAACCUACAAGGUGAAUCCCGAGCAACUAAGUGACCGUGUCGCUACUCCGGGGGACAACGCAACCAAGUGACCGUGGCACUUCUCCGAGGGACAACGGAGCAGCCUUCGUCGCUACGUUCGAUCUUCGGCAGUUAUAUUCACCAGGUGGGAUUCUAUAGCUUGCGAGGGUGGCGCGGCCAUUAAAUCAACUAAUUGGCAAUGUUAAUCGUUUUAGACUGAUUGGCAAGAGAAGGCCGCUGCCACAUUGGGUCGUCGUCGUGACGGAAGCGGAGAGGACUGGGCGGGGCGAUUGUAGCUUUAGGCUUAGCUAACACUAGGAAGGGUAGCUCGCGCUGCGCAGGCUCCAGCUGGCAGGGGUCCUCUCUCGUUUGCGACACGGACGUCGGCCCAUUCCGAGUGCUAUUGCUUCCCGGUCAUAAUUUCGCGUGUCGGCGCGCGCGAAAUGUGGAAGUAAAUUGCACCCGGAAUUAAUUAGCGUCAGGUUUCUUCCAGCAAAACAGAAGAAGAACGGACGUUGCCUACGGUCUGCAGCGCGGCGCGCUGCGGCGAAGACGGUGGUGGGUGGCCGCAUUUUCUUUUUUUUUUUGUCUUCCAUAUGUUCUCGUCCCUAUUGCUGUGUCGCGCCGUGCUUUCGUCGCUUGACAAGCCAACCAUAGUGGACUAGUCCCAUCGCCCACGCCAGCGCGAUGACGCUUGUCAUGGUGAGUACGUGCUUUCUGGUUACUUUCGUCCUUUAGCAAGUGCCCCCCCCCCCCUUUUUUUUAGUUUCAGAUCUGCAACCUGUGCCUCGGCCCUUGGCACAUGUUCCUGCAGCCGGCCGUGUCUCGCACAGAUGAUGUUCAGCACCUGUCGUCCCACGGCUGAUCGCGUCACUUCUGUUCCUGCCUCACUGCUACUGGUGUCCUGGUGAAUGAAGAUGCCUGCAAUCCAUGCCCUGCAGAACGUCCAUUGCACUCUGCAUCCUUUGGUGCCAGACGCACGCGACGGAUUUUCCUGCAGCCGGCCGUGUCUCGCACAGAUGAUGUUCAGCACCUGUCGUCCCACGGCUGAUCGCGUCACUUCUGUUCCUGCCUCACUGCUAUUGGUGUCCUGGUGAAUGAAGAUGCCUGCAAUCUCCGUGCUGCAGUACGUCGACUGCACUCUGCAACCCCUGUAUUGAUAUCUGCCGCCCAUCAAGGUCUGUCCCACCAGCGUAGUAGGCAACGACACCAAGCGCAGACCGUAGGGAGACAGGCGUUUCUCUCGCCGCUCAUCGCAUUGCUGCUCCCGAAAACGUCGUGCUGCAGGAAACGUUCUUCGCUGCCUCGACGACGCCACACAACUAUGAAGUCCCAAGAAACAGUACGACGUCGCGUGACAUGAAUGUUCAUCUAACAUCCCGGUUGGAGUGGUUCGUUCCACCCUAUAGCAGUAUGACGGCCACUCCGAUGAAGUCGCACGUUGUUCAGUGGCUGUGACCGUAUGACUCGAGUACCGAAAAAUCCCAGGUAACAUGCUGUUCUAGCUCAUCGUAGUGGUACACUGCUCAGAAUCUAGCAUUGGGUUGAUCUAGGGCUUCUUACGCUCAUUGACAUUCUGUGCUUUUGUAAUGGUACACCGAUGCUGCUUUGCGUUGCCGAAUUGUGUUGAUG